AGACAACAUUGCCAAAACCCCGGUAUAGUGACAUUAUUUUCUUAUAAUAUACUUUCAAAUUUAAAGUACUUUUGGUAAAAUAAGAGAGGGUGUGAUGUUUUGCAUUGCAUCACUCAGAAACCAAGCAUCCAAGCGCAACGACUUUCCGGCAACGCUUCUUCAACUGCUCCGAUGACGACGCACCGACAAUCUUCUCUUUCCGAUCCUCUGCAUGCAAAAGACGAUCAAAACUCUUACAUCUGUCCCUAUUCUUCUUCUUCAAUCUACUUUUUUUUUUCUUUCUAUUUUUGUUUUUUUAUGAAAAUUCUAUAUAUGGUUCCUGUGACUUGUUCAGGUGAAAGGAAAUCUGAAUCUGCAACUUGUUAAUGAAUCUGCUAUUGAGGGUACACCAUACUUAUGUUAGGAUCAGAUUAAUCCAAAGCUAUUUUGAGGUUUUUACUUUACAGUUGAUCUUGCUCUUCUCUCACUCAUUCCACUAUCUAAAUUCAGUGAAAAUGGCAACGGUGGCACUUCUGCGUUUUACUCCAGCAUUUGGUAAAAGCCAUGCAUUUUCAUUUCCAUCACUAUUAUCAUCACAUCAUCAGUUUCAUAACCAUUCUCUAUAUCUCACCAGCCCAACCCAUUUGCCUAAAAGAUUGAAAGUUAACUUUGCUGGAGGGGAUGGCGGUGAUGGGGUUGGUUGGGGUGGUAGUGGUGGUGGAGGUGGAAGUUGGGGGGAUGAUGAUGGAAAUUCAAAAGAUUCGUCUUUUGGGAUUUUGGGUCUGUUUCUGAAUGGAUGGAGAUCAAGGGUUACUGCUGAUCCACAGUUUCCUUUCAAGGUUUUGAUGGAAGAGUUGGUUGGUGUCACUUCUGCUGUUUUAGGUGACAUGGCUUCAAGGCCUAAUUUUGGGCUGAAUGAACUUGACUUUGUAUUUUCAACUCUUGUUGUUGGUGCUAUUCUCAAUUUCACGCUCAUGUAUAUUUUGGCACCUACAAUGGGAUCUUCAUCAGUCAAAGUACCAGCGAUCUUUGCAUCUUGUCCCAAGAGUCACAUGUUUGAACCUGGUGUCUUUAGUUUAUUGGAUAGGUUUGGAACUUUGGUUUAUAAAGGAACCAUUUUUGCUGUUGUUGGGUUGGGUGCUGGUCUGGUUGGAACUGCAAUUUCAAAUGGGUUGGUUAAGAUGAGGAAGAAAAUGGAUCCCAAUUUUGAGUCCCCAAACAAGCCUCCGCCCACAUUGCUGAAUGCUCUCACUUGGGCUGCUCACAUGGGUUUCAGCAGCAACCUCAGGUACCAAACUCUCAAUGGUGUCGAGUUCCUGUUGGAGAAAUGGCUUAAUCCCUUGGUCUUCAAGACCUCGGUGUUGGUUCUCAGGUGCUCAAACAACGUUCUUGGGGGAAUGACGUUUGUUAUGUUGGCAAGGUUGACAGGGUCACAGAGUGUUGGUGAAGAAAAACCAUCAUCUGUGAAAGUUGAGUCAGGUGAGAAGGAGAAGGUGGAAAGGGAAGAGCUUUUGGAGAAUGUCAAUCAAACAACAGUAUCAAAGUGAUGGCAUCACUCAGUCUGGUUUUGUCGCUUGCUUUGACCCAGGUUGUUGUAGAGGUUAGGGCUUUUUAGUUUUCUGAAUUUUGUGUAGGUUUUCCUACUCUCCCAAACUCUUGCAGCAACAAAUAAAUAUGAAAGGUAGAUUGAGAUGGGAGAUUCGGAACAAGUUUCUGGCAGGAAGAAAAAUUGAGAGGAAGACCAGGCUACGAGCAUCUCAAUAAACCCUCGACAAAUUUUGGUUGAGGUCGGCAUACCUGCUGAUAUUGUUGAUAUAAGGCUCAGGAAAUAAUAGAAGAACUGCUCAAAUCUGUGUCCUGGGCCAAGUGGCUGUGUGACCCCACUCAAUUCUAGUGGAUUGAAAAGUGCAAAACCAGGCUGCUGAAAUGUGUUCUUGAUGUUGUGGUCCUCCUGCUAUUCAUUGCUGAUAAUAUCUUCCAGUACAUGUUUCCUCAUUCAAUGCAGCUAUGAAAAGAAUAUGCCAACAAUUCUUGCUGGUUAGCAUUCUGGUGGUUGGUUUUCCUGGAACACAAAGGAGACAAAGCUGGAAUGAAGGAUUUCUCAAAGAGAAAAUUUUAUAGCGGGGUAUUGAGAAUAGGUUUGUUCAAAUCAAACCUUUUUUUCCUCCCGUUUAAACUCAAUACAGUCAUUGGAUUUAUUCUUGAGUCAGUUACUUUUAUGAAGUGUGGAGUAUAUGUAUACAUGUGAUGGUGGUGGUAAAGUUUUAGGCCUAAGAUGAUGAAGAGUUGUUGCCACGUGUAAUGUGUCAAAGUCUCACUGUAUUUGAUAUUUAUUCAAGAUGGUUAGAUAGCAUAGGCUGCUGGAUUCUUUUUAAUUGUUUGCCAAAAGCAUUUGUAUUAUCGUCCGAGAGGUAUGCGCUAUAUUUGGAAUGAUCCAUGCCAGAUGAAUAUCUUACCAUGUGCCAUUAAUGAAAAAAGUUGUAUUUUGUUUAUAUACAAUGGUUACAUAUAAAUGUUCUGUAAAUUA